UACGAAGGGGGCUAGCGUUGCUCGGAAUUACUGGGCGUAAAGGGCGCGUAGGCGGACAGCUUAGUCAGAGGUGAAAGCCCAGGGCUCAACCUUGGAAUUGCCUUUGAUACUGGCUGUCUUGAGUUCGGGAGAGGUGAGUGGAAUGCCGAGUGUAGAGGUGAAAUUCGUAGAUAUUCGGCGGAACACCAGUGGCGAAGGCGACUCACUGGCCCGAUACUGACGCUGAGGCGCGGAAGCGUGGGGAGCAAACAGG
rnacentral:rRNA from 1 species